UCGGACAAUUAUCCUACAUGCAACGACACUUAUUAAAUCGGACUUUUCUUGAAAUUUUUUUAGAAUUUCGGGACGUACGAUAGGUUAAAAUAUGAUACCACUAGGUCGGAGGAGAUAACACUACAAAGUAUCCUAAAUACACCUAGCAUUUUGUCUAGUACUAAUACGAAUAAAAUGCCCCUUAAAUACUGAAAACCGACCCUCUCAUACUCUUCAAUAUUAAAAUGUUGCACGGUUUAAACCCAGAAAAUGUCAAAGCAAAUACAUAGUCUUCUUCCCUUACAGAAAAAUAAGAAAAAAUAAAACACAAAUACUUCCUGGAUUCAAAAUUUGCAACGCUCAAAAUAAUAAAAUGAAAAAGAAGAACACAAGAUGAUCUGAGUCUUACUAUGCCAUAUGCUGUUGCUCGUUUAAUAACUUUUGAAUCAUCGCCUCUCCCCUG
rnacentral:lncRNA from 1 species